rnacentral:rRNA from 1 species
AAAAAAGGUAAGCUACUAAGAGCGAAUGGUGGAUGCCUUGACUGGUAAAGGCGAUGAAGGACGUACUAGACUGCGAUAAGCUACGGGGAGCUGUCAAGAAGCUUUGAUCCGUAGAUUUCCGAAUGGGGCAACCCAAUGUAUAGAGAUAUACAUUACCUAUAUAGGAGCGAACGAGGGGAAUUGAAACAUCUUAGUACCCUCAGGAAAAGAAAUCAAUAGAGAUUGCGUCAGUAGCGGCGAGCGAAAGCGCAAGAGGGCAAACCCAGUGCUUGCACUGGGGGUUGUAGGACUGCAAUGUGCAAGAGGUGAGUUUAGCAGAACAUUCUGGAAAGUAUAGCCAUAGAGGGUGAUAGUCCCGUAUGCGAAAAACAAACCUUAGCUAGCAGUAUCCUGAGUAGGGCGGGACACGAGAAAUCCUGUCUGAAGCUGGGUCGACCACGAUCCAACCCUAAAUACUAAUACCAGAUCGAUAGUGCACAAGUACCGUGAGGGAAAGGUGAAAAGAACUGAGGUGAUCAGAGUGAAAUAGAACCUGAAACCAUUUGCUUACAAUCAUUCAGAGCCCUAUGUAGCAAUACAGGGUGAUGGACUGCCUUUUGCAUAAUGAGCCUGCGAGUUGUGGUGUCUGGCAAGGUUAAGCAAACGCGAAGCCGUAGCGAAAGCGAGUCUGAAUAGGGCGCUUAGUCAGAUGCUGCAGACCCGAAACGAAGUGAUCUAUCCAUGAGCAAGUUGAAGCUAGUGUAAGAACUAGUGGAGGACUGAACCCAUAGGCGUUGAAAAGCCCCGGGAUGACUUGUGGAUAGGGGUGAAAGGCCAAUCAAACUUCGUGAUAGCUGGUUCUCUCCGAAAUAUAUUUAGGUAUAGCGUUGUGUCGUAAUAUAAGGGGGUAGAGCACUGAAUGGGCUAGGGCAUACACCAAUGUACCAAACCCUAUCAAACUCCGAAUACCUUAUAUGUAAUCACAGCAGUCAGGCGGCGAGUGAUAAAAUCCGUCGUCAAGAGGGAAACAACCCAGACUACCAGCUAAGGUCCCUAAAUCUUACUUAAGUGGAAAACGAUGUGAAGUUACUUAAACAACCAGGAGGUUGGCUUAGAAGCAGCCAUCCUUUAAAGAAAGCGUAAUAGCUCACUGGUCUAGUGAUUUUGCGCGGAAAAUAUAACGGGGCUAAAGUAAGUACCGAAGCUGUAGACUUGCGCACAACUUAGAUUAUUUAAGUUUAGAAUAUGAGAAACUAAGUUAUAUGUUUAGUUAUAUUUUUACUGAUUUUUAUAGAGUAAAGAUAGAAAUAAAACUUAGUAAAAUCAGUAAAAAUAUUCUUAGACUAAAGUUAAGUAGUUUAAGUUGUGUGCAAGUGGUAGGAGAGCGUUCUAUUUGCGUCGAAGGUAUACCGGUAAGGAGUGCUGGAGCGAAUAGAAGUGAGCAUGCAGGCAUGAGUAGCGAUAAUUAAUGUGAGAAUCAUUAACGCCGUAAACCCAAGGUUUCCUACGCGAUGCUCGUCAUCGUAGGGUUAGUCGGGUCCUAAGUCGAGUCCGAAAGGGGUAGACGAUGGCAAAUUGGUUAAUAUUCCAAUACCAACAUUAGUGUGCGAUGGAAGGACGCUUAGGGCUAAGGGGGCUAGCGGAUGGAAGUGCUAGUCUAAGGUCGUAGGAGGUUAUACAGGCAAAUCCGUAUAACAAUACUCCGAGAACUGAAAGGCUUUUUGAAGUCUUCGGAUGGAUAGAAGAACCCCUGAUGCCGUCGAGCCAAGAAAAGUUUCUAAGUUUAGCUAAUGUUGCCCGUACCGUAAACCGACACAGGUGGGUGGGAUGAGUAUUCUAAGGCGCGUGGAAGAACUCUCUUUAAGGAACUCUGCAAAAUAGCACCGUAUCUUCGGUAUAAGGUGUGGUUCGCUUCGUAUUAGGAUUUACUCCGAAAGCGAAGAAACUUACAACAAAGAGUCCCUCCCGACUGUUUACCAAAAACACAGCACUCUGCUAACUCGUAAGAGGAUGUAUAGGGUGUGACGCCUGCCCGGUGCUCGAAGGUUAAUUGAUGGGGUUAGCAUUAGCGAAGCUCUUGAUCGAAGCCCGAGUAAACGGCGGCCGUAACUAUAACGGUCCUAAGGUAGCGAAAUUCCUUGUCGGUUAAAUACCGACCUGCAUGAAUGGCGUAACGAGAUGGGAGCUGUCUCAAAGAGGGAUCCAGUGAAAUUGUAGUGGAGGUGAAAAUUCCUCCUACCCGCGGCAAGACGGAAAGACCCCGUGGACCUUUACUACAGCUUGACACUGCUAUUUGGAUAAGAAUGUGCAG